rnacentral:rRNA from 1 species
UACGUAGGGGGCAAGCGUUGUCCGGAUUUAUUGGGCGUAAAGAGCGUGUAGGCGGCCGCACAGGUCCGUUGUGAAAACUCGAGGCUCAACCUCGAGACGUCGGCGGAAACCAUCUGGCUAGAGUCCGGAAGAGGAGAGUGGAAUUCCUGGUGUAGCGGUGAAAUGCGCAGAUAUCAGGAAGAACACCCGUGGCGAAGGCGGCUCUCUGGGACGGUACUGACGCUGAGACGCGAAAGCGUGGGGAGCGAACAGG